AACAAUUAAGGUACACCCAAACUAAAAUUAUUUGUUUAUCGUCCCAAUUUAUUUCCCACUUUAAUUGCACAAUAAUUCACAUCGUUACCAAUUGCUUUAAAAAAUUUCAAGUCUUAACGAACCGUCAAGGUGACCAUAAAACACAAAUUGAUAUAACGUUAUAAUCGAGAUUACUUCAAUUGAAGUUCAAACGGAAUAAAUGAAACGAAAACAUCAAAACAACGCGACAUAAACUCGUGCGCGAACUUCGAAAACCUAAAAGCGCUUUGGCACUUUGUCACGUUGAAAAAAAAAACGUAACAGUUUAAAUUUAACUUUUGGAACUGAACGUGGUUCAAACGAGAGAAUUUAAAAAUUAAAUUAAAUCGAGCGUCGAAAAAGGUCGUUUUAGUGAUAAAGACCACCACCAUGUGGGUUUGUUCCAAUUAGUUUUAAUGCUUUUUAAUGUGUGUAAAUUGGAUUAAAUGUUUUAUCGGGAAACAGGCACCCAAAUACGAAUCAUUUCGUAAUCGUCCAGGUCGAAAACCUUCAGGAACGUUGUCAUCUGAUACCCGAGCUACCUCCUCCAUUGGUUCUUGAGCGUACGGCGGCAACUCGGCUUUGGGGUGGCGUUUCCAUUACAUGAGGGCAAUUAUAUAAGAGCCAAGAACAUACUUUGUACGCCUCGUGUUUUGGAUCGUUCUCUUGGUAGAAUCGCCAGUCGCUGCCAAGAGGUAGUUUACCCACGCUGCAAGGUAAAUUGGAUUUAAAAUAUUGAGAUGCGCAUUUUGAUCCAUUAUUCCCUCGAUAAAAUGCAAACAUCCUAGUCCAGCAGCUGAAAAUGACCCUCACACCAUCACAGAUCCGCCAUGCCACCAUGUUCCACAGUUGGUCUUAAAUUUUUUAAAUGCAGCUCCUCAUUAUUUCUUCUCCAUACAUAUGGCUUACCAUCAGAUCCAAAAAUAUAUUUACUUU